AGAGUUUGAUCCUGGCUCAGAUUGAACGCUGGCGGCAUGCCUAACACAUGCAAGUCGAACGGAAACSAUGGAAGCUUGCUUCCAGGCGUCGAGUGGCGGACGGGUGAGUAAUACUUAGGAAUCUGCCCAGUAGUGGGGGACAACUCGGGGAAACUCGAGCUAAUACCGCAUACGCCCUACGGGGGAAAGCGGAGGAUCUUUCGGGACUUCGCGCUAUUGGAUGAGCCUAARUSGGAUUAGCUUGUUGGUGAGGUAAAAGCUCACCAAGGCGACGAUCCGUARCUGGUCUGAGAGGACGAUCAGCCACACUGGGACUGAGACACGGCCCAAACUCCUACGGGAGGCAGCAGUGGGGAAUAUUGGACAAUGGGGGCAACCCUGAUCCAGCAAUGCCGCGUGUGUGAAGAAGGCCUGCGGGUUGUAAAGCACUUUCAGUAGAGAAGAAAAGUUCAGGGUUAAUACCCCUGAAUCUUGACGUUACCUACAGAAGAAGCUCCGGCUAACUCCGUGCCAGCAGCCGCGGUAAUACGGAGGGAGCGAGCGUUAAUCGGAAUUACUGGGCGUAAAGCGCGCGUAGGC
rnacentral:rRNA from 1 species